UACGUAGGGUGCGAGCGUUAAUCGGAAUUACUGGGCGUAAAGCGUGCGUAGACGGUUAUUUAAGUCGGGUGUGAAAGCCCCGGGCUCAACCUGGGAAUUGCAUUCGAGACUGAAUAGCUAGGGUACGGUAGAGGGAAGCGGAAUUCCCGGUGUAGUGGUGGAAUGCGUAGAUAUCGGGAAGAACACCAGUGGCGAAGGCGACUCACUGGACACAUAUUGACGCUGAGGUGCGAAAGCGUGGGGAGCAAACGGG
rnacentral:rRNA from 1 species